CAAGGAUUAACAAAUCAUUUAUUCGAGAGUUAAAUUUAUUAAUUAAUUUUGACUUUAAUUUUUGAAUUGCUUUAAGUGGUUUUUUUGGUUUCUGUUGGAAAAAUGGAAGCUGGAAUCAAAGCUUUUUGUUACUGUGUGAAUCAAUUGUUUUAUACUGUGGUGCAUGGUAACGUAGGAUUACAGAUUGCAUACAACGUAUAUGAUAAUAUUAUUAGUAACAAUAAGAAAGACGAAGUUGUUCGUUCUGAAGAUAUUGAAGGAUAUCGAAGAGACAAAACUAUUAAGGAAAUCUUAAAGUUCAUUGGAGAUGAAAGUAACGUAGGAUUACAGACUGCAUAUAACGCAGAUAAUAGUAUUAGUAAUAAUACGAAAAAAAAUACUGAAGAUACUAGUAAUACUGUACUUAAAAAGAAUAAACAAAAAAAGGAAUUAAAGAAGAAAGAUGAAGUUGUUCGCUCUGAAGAUAUUAAAGGGUAUCGAGGAGACAAAACUAUUGAGGAAAUCUUAAAGUUCAUUGGAGAUGAAAGUGGUGAUAGUAAAAAAAAUAAAGAUUGCAAGAUUAAAAAUAAAAUUAAAAGUCCAAAUGAAAAAAGUUCUGAUAACGAUUUCAAUAGGCCAAAAAAUGAUGAAAUGAAGAUGAGCAUUUAUAAUAGUAUUGAAGAAGUAUCUACAACAAUUUUUCAACCAAUAGAUAGUUUAGAUAAUGAGUCAAAAUUAAUUAAAAGUAUUAAAAAAGGUAAAAAAAAAGUACCAAAACAAAACCAAUCUUCUGAGAAAUUUACAUCUACCGAACAGACACUUGAUGUCUUAUCAUCAAAACCACAAGAUACUGAAUCCGCUGAUUUUUUGUUGGUUACCAAAAACCAAAAGAGAAGAAAACAGAAAUCACAAAAUAAAUUAAAUACGAUCACUAGUAAUUUUCCUAUCCAGGACUCAAAUUUAUUAUCACCGUAUAUACAGCCUAAAAGUGUAAAAAAUGAAAAAAAAAGAAAAUCCACAUCUUCAAUGCCUCAUUCUAACAAGUCUGAAGACAACUCUAAUCUAGAUUCUGUGCACUCAUUGCUUGCCUCAUCUACACUUUCUAAACAGCCAUCAUACAAAGAAGCCUCUAAGACUGAUAUGACAAAACCAGUCAGUGUUGUCAUUAUGUACAAUGAAUAUGAGGUGGACGAAAGCUUGUCUUUUGGUUUUGAAGUCGAUCAAAAUUUACUAAUUGAUAGCGUUAAUGAUUCUUCGCCAAAAAGGAAAUCACAAAAUAAAUUAAAUACGAUCACUAGUAAUUUUCCUACCCAGGACUCAAAUUUAUUAUCACCGUAUACACAGCUUAAAAGUGUAAAAAAUGAAAAAAAAAGGAAAUCCACAUCUUCAAUGCCUCAUUCUAACAAGUCUGAAGACAACUCUAAUCUAGAUUCUGUGCACUCAUUGCUUGCCUCAUCUACAUUUUCUAAACAGCCAUCAUACAAAGAAGCCUCUAAGACUGAUAUGACAAAACCAGUCAGUGUUGUCAUUAUGUACAAUGAAUAUGAGGUGGACGAAAGCUUGUCUUUUGGUUUUGAAGUCGAUCAAAAUUUACUAAUUGAUAGCGUUAAUGAUUAUUCGCCAAAAAGGAAAUCACAAAAUAAAUUAAAUACGAUCACUAGUAAUUUUCCUACCCAGGACUCAAAUUUAUUAUCACCGUAUACACAGCUUAAAAGUGUAAAAAAUGAAAAAAAAAGGAAAUCCACAUCUUCAAUGCCUCAUUCUAACAAGUCUGAAGACAACUCUAAUCUAGAUUCUGUGCACUCAUUGCUUGCCUCGUCUACACUUUCUAAACAGCCAUCAUACAAAGAAGCCUCUAAGAUUGAUAUGACAAAACCAGUCAGUGGUGUCAUUAUGUACAAUGAAUAUGAGGUGGACGAAAGCUUGUCUUUUGGUUUUGAAGUCGAUCAAAAUUUACUAAUUGAUAGCGUCAAUGAUUAUUCGCCAAAAAGGAAAUCACAAAAUAAAUUAAAUACGAUCACUAGUAAUUUUCCUACCCAGGACUCAAAUUUAUUAUCACCGUAUACACAGCCUAAAAGUGUAAAAAAUGAAAAAAAAAGGAAAUCCACAUCUUCAAUGCCUCAUUCUAACAAGUCUGAAGACAACUCUAAUCUAGAUUCUGUGCACUCAUUGCUUGCCUCGUCUACACUUUCUAAACAGCCAUCAUACAAAGAAGCCUCUAAGACUGAUAUGACAAAACCAGUCAGUGUUGUCAUUAUGUACAAUGAAUAUGAGGUGGACGAAAGCUUGUCUUUUGGUUUUGAAGUCGAUCAAAAUUUACUAAUUGAUAGCGUUAAUGAUUAUUCGCCCUCAGUAUCAAUGCCUACGCCUAUAGAAAACAAUUAUGAAGAAGUGGUCUUGUCCGUCAAACAAGCUUGGCAAGAUGUUGAAAAAGAGAAAAUCGAUGGAAUCAAUGGCAAAUCAUGAAAUCAGUGGAGGUGACAUGCAUUAUAGGAAUUCCGUGACAUUAUACAGGGGUUAUUGAGGGGUGUAUCUUAUGUCGUUGUACGCGGGAUUUUUUAACGAUUAUGGAUCGACAACAUGGAAUUUUAAAAAAAAGAAAAAAUACGUGUUUCUUUAUUUUAAACGACCAAUUUUUUUAUAACAAUUUUAAAAUUUUUAAGCAAGCAGUUGUACCAACAUCAAAAUCAACAUUUUUUUUUCAAAUGGUAACAAAUAUAUUUUUUGAUCGAUACUUAUAGAGCUUUUUUUUAAAAAAAAAUUGAUGUUAAAAUCAUACAUUUUGGUUCACUGGUUUAUUUAUUACGGGCAUCCUAAACUUUAAUAAAUUGAUUUAAAUGGAUUGUAUUUCUAGAGAUAUGAAUAAUUUUUUUUUAAACUUUCUUUUAAUAAAAUUCUACACUUUUUUAUAAACUUAAUCAAAAAUCUUAUCAUACACGUGUAAAAACAAAAUAGAAGUAGAAGUAUUUCUCUGGGAUGAUUGCCUAACAAAACUGUUGAACAUAUUUUAACAUACAAUUAUAAAAUAAGUGAGUACAUACAUACUUGCUAUUAUUGUAUGAUCCUCAUAACUCGAUUAAUUUAGAUUUUUUCUAGAUAGUUAUUUUGUUUAUUUAAAAUAAUCUAAGUUUGGAUACUUAAUUAGGCAGAUAAGUAUUAUAAUAAUAUUCGGUUAUUAUUAUAAUAACAUUGGAAGUCUUUAAUUAACACAUGAUACAGAUACCUAUAAUUGAUAAAUUAACUAUUUAUGUAAAUAAUUAUGCAAGUUGUUUAUUUAAAAUCAUGAUUAUUUAAAGAUUCUAGUUAUAUCUAACUUUAUUUUUAUUAUUUGCAAAUGUACAAAUAUAUUUAUUACAAAUCAGUUUAAGUUUUUACUCGAUCAAGACGUUUUUAUAGAGAAGUUUAGUUCAAUAAACACUUUAUUGUGCGAGUUAUAAUGCAUUCGAUUGAGGAGCGUGUGGAAAUAAUUUUUUUGUAUGGUUCUACCAAAUGUCUUGCCGAAACUGCUAGACAAUUUAAUGUUUUACAUCCAGAAAAUAAUGUUCAAAAAUCAUAUGUCAAACAUCUUGUUGACAAGUUUCGAGAAACUGGAAGUGUUAAUGAUAAAAAAAAAACCAGGACGAAUCGCAGAAGUAGUUCAAAACGAAAAUACGAAAAUAACGGUUUUAGGUACCUAUGGUUGCUAAUGAUCCUACACAGUCAUUAAAAACCUUAUCGGAAAAUUUGGGAAUUUCAAGGCAAAGUGUUUGGCGUAUAUUAAAAAACCAUAAGUAUAAACCAUUCAAAAUGAGUAUUGUUCAGGAAUUAGGAGAAGGUGACGAAGACAGACGCUUAGAAUUUUGUGAGACUAUUUUGGAAAAAAUAAAUGCUAAUGCAGAUUUAAUAAAGCACAUCGUGUUUAGCGACGAAUCGUCAUUUUCUCUUUCUGGGGAAGUUAAUACACAAAACUGCCGUUAUUGGUCCGAUAGUAAUCCACAUGUCUUAAGACAUGGACAUACAUAAUGGCCCCAAAAAAUAAAUGUCUGGGCUGGUAUUCUUGGUGACCAUGUUAUCGGGCCAAUAUUUUUUGAAGGUAAUUUAACUGGGGAAAAGUACCUUGCUA